rnacentral:rRNA from 1 species
UACGGGGGGAGCAAGCGUUGUUCGGAUUUACUGGGCGUAAAGGGCGCGUAGGCGGCCACCGCAAGUCGGUUGUGAAAUCUCUGGGCUUAACCCAGAAAGGUCAAUCGAUACUGCGGGGCUAGAGUGCAGAAGGGGCAACCGGAAUUCUCGGUGUAGCGGUGAAAUGCGUAGAUAUCGAGAGGAACACCUGCGGCGAAGGCGGUCUUCUGGACGGUGACUGACGCUGAGGCGCGAAAGCGUGGGGAGCAAACGGG